CAGUUCUGAGCAUGGCGGCGAUGAAUAGCUUCUCUCUCCGAUCUGAUGAUGAAAGGGGUGAAGAUCUUCUAUCAGAACAUGCAGUAGGGUUUAUAUUGAUUGAUUUGAUGAUUGCUUGGGGUUAGUGAGUACCGAGGGCAGUAGGCUUCACUUCACAGACUGGCUGUAUUUAUGGAUAAGGUGCUCAUCAAGGCAAGCUUUUGUGACAUUGUAGACAUUCUCAUUACCACUCAAAUUACUACUUUUAACAUUAAUCCUUAAUAGCAACUUCAUGUCCAAGGCCGUCUUCAGCACCUCCGGGUUUCUCUGACUUUGGUUGCACUCAACCCUACAAUUUGGCUUGCUUCGGUAUCCCACAACACUACACACAUACUUCCAGUUGCAUCGGAAACAUAAGCUUGAAGCUUAUACCGCAAGUCUACCUGAACGGCCUUCUUGCGGCAAUGGAUAGACGCAAUACUCCUAAAUGUAAAUGGCUGAAACGGAAAGAGCGGUUGAGGGAUAUGAACAACCAUGCUUCUUUGUAAUAAGGUGAUCCUAUACUGAAGCGAGCUGCACUUCAUCCACAUAUUGUUCUUUUGGACUAUAAAAGAAGAAAUACUAUAUAGCUGCCCCUCCGACAGAAUGGGCCGGAACAGUCGCACCACUGAUUUUGGAAUCGUGCAGUGUAUCCU